rnacentral:misc_RNA from 1 species
AAGGCUUGCUGGUGGUUCCG